rnacentral:tRNA from 1 species
UCCGGGGUGGGGUAGCUGGUCAUCCCGCAGGGCCUUGGCCCCUGAGACGGAGGUUCGAAUCCUCCCCCCGGAG